GAUGAACGCUGGCGGCGUGCCUAAUACAUGCAAGUCGAGCGAACGGACGAGAAGCUUGCUUCUCUGAUGUUAGCGGCGGACGGGUGAGUAACACGUGGAUAACCUACCUAUAAGACUGGGAUAACUUCGGGAAACCGGAGCUAAUACCGGAUAAUAUUUUGAACCGCAUGGUUCAAAAGUGAAAGACGGUCUUGCUGUCACUUAUAGAUGGAUCCGCGCUGCAUUAGCUAGUUGGUAAGGUAACGGCUUACCAAGGCAACGAUGCAUAGCCGACCUGAGAGGGUGAUCGGCCACACUGGAACUGAGACACGGUCCAGACUCCUACGGGAGGCAGCAGUAGGGAAUCUUGCGCAAUGGGCGAAAGCCUGACGGAGCAACGCCGCGUGAGUGAUGAAGGUCUUCGGAUCGUAAAACUCUGUUAGUAGGGAAGAACAUAUGUGUAAGUAACUGUGCACAUCUUGACGGUACCUAAUCAGAAAGCCACGGCUAACUACGUG
rnacentral:rRNA from 1 species